rnacentral:sRNA from 1 species
UUUGGACUAAUGAAAGACUAAAGAAACGACUUUUGAC